UCCCAGUUCGGAUUGUAGUCUGCAACCCGACUACAUGAAGCUGGAAUCGCUAGUAAUCGCGGAUCAGAAUGCCGCGGUGAAUACGUUCCCGGGUCUUGUACACACCGCCCGUCACACCAUGGAAGUUGGGGGUGCCCAAAGCCGGCAAGCAAAUAUGCUGUCUAAGGCAAAACCAAUGACUGGGGUGAAGUCGUAACAAGGUAAC
rnacentral:rRNA from 1 species